rnacentral:rRNA from 1 species
ACCUCAGUAACGGCGAGUGAAGCGGUAACAGCUCAAAUUUGAAAUCUGGCCCUUUCAGGGUCCGAGUUGUAAUUUGUAGAAGAUGUUUCGGGUGUGGCUCCGGUCUAAGUUCCUUGGAACAGGACGUCGUAGAGGGUGAGAAUCCCGUAUGUGACUGGCUGCCUCCGCCCAUGUGAAACUCUUUCGACGAGUCGAGUUGUUUGGGAAUGCAGCUCAAAAUGGGUGGUAAAUUUCAUCUAAAGCUAAAUAUUGGCCAGAGACCGAUAGCGCACAAGUAGAGUGAUCGAAAGAUGAAAAGCACUUUGGAAAGAGAGUUAAACAGUACGUGAAAUUGUUGAAAGGGAAGCGCUUGCAAUCAGACUUGCACGCGGCCGAUCAUCCGGGGUUCUCCCCGGUGCACUCGGUCGCGUUCAGGCCAGCAUCGGUUUGGGUGGUGGGAUAAAGGCCUUGGGAAUGUAGCUUCUUUCGGGGAGUGUUAUAGCCCUCGGUGCAAUGCCGCCAAUCCAGACCGAGGACCGCGCUUCGGCUAGGAUGCUGGCGUAAUGGUUGUAAGCGACCCGUCUUGAAACACGGACCAAGGAGUCUAACACUUAUGCGAGUAUUUGGGUGUCACACCCAUAUGCGUAAUGAAAGUGAACGGAGGUGAGAACCCUUAAGGGUGCAUCAUCGACCGGUCCUGAUGUCUUCGGAUGGAUC